CCUGUUACUGGUAAAGUAGGUCAGUGUAUAUAAACUAAAAAAAAUUAAGAUGGUUCCUAUCUCAGCCUUUUCUCUUUCUCUUGCGUUCUCUUCUUGUUCCUUUGGUUCUCCGAUUCUUUCUUCUUCCUCUCUCAGAUUUUGCUCUUGCGUUCACUCCACUCCCUUAUAUUCAUGGUCACAUUAUAUUCCUGUUUUUCUAUCAUUCUAGGUAUGAUAGAAAAAGCUACAAAAUUUUACAAAGGUUUCCGAUCUGCAAAUCAGAAGCGGCUUGAAGAUAGAGAUAGGUUGUUGCAGGUAAUUCAUCUCUACAAUACGAUUCUGUCGUUUCUUGCCCUGCUGAGUGAGGAGAAAUCAUAGGAUCUGAGAUCAAGCAGUGAUUUUCAUGGCAAAAAAAUCGUUCUUCAAGAAAACAAAUCCAUAUCCAGCAAAAGAAAUUUCCGACUCUAACCAUCCUCAGAGAAUAAGUUGCAAUAAAAAAGCCAAAUCAAUCUUUAGAACAAGAAGAAGAAAUCUCAUCACAAGAAAAUCUCUGGUUUCUAGCUGAUUUUCACUUGUAAAGAUGGUUUGUAUGCCUACUUUGAGAGACAAGUUUGGUUGAUACUUUUCAGUUGCUGAUCAGUUUAUCUAAACAGUUUGCUCUAGGUAGUUCAUCAAAAGUUCUCAUCACAUCUGCAGAUUCACGAAUUUGGGUUGUCGACGGUAUUGAUCUGGUUCACAAGUUUAAAGAAAACUACCAGAAUUCUCUAUUCAAUGAGAAAAAUACAAAAGCAUGUGCUUAUAAAAACAAAGUUAUUGACAAUUGGAGGACAUUGAGAUCUUGUGUGGGAGGAAUAGAGCUCCUAGAGUUGGUGCAAAAUAUAUGGACGAUGUAGUUGAAGCUAUGAUUG